ACGGUCUCGGGCCGUCCGAGUUGUAAUCUAGAGAAGCGUCUUCCGCGUCGGGCCGUGUACAGGUCUCCUGGAAGGGAGCAUCGUAGAGGGUGACAGUCCCGUCUUCGACACGGAAGGACCGACGCUGUGCGAUGCGCUCUCGACGAGUCGAGUUGUUUGGGAAUGCAGCUCCAAACGGGUGGUAAACUCCAUCUAAAGCUAAAUAUUGGCGAGAGACCGAUAGCGAACAAGUACCGUGAGGGAAAGAUGAAAAGGACUUUGGAAAGAGAGUCAAACAGUACGUGAAAUCGCUGGAAGGGAAACGCUCCGAGUCAGUCGCGUCCCCCGGGGAUCAACCCUGCGAUGCGUCGCUGGGCGUACUUCCCGGCGGGACGGGUCAGCAUCGAUCUCGGUCGUCGUAGAAGGACGAGGGCGAAAGUG
rnacentral:rRNA from 1 species